rnacentral:rRNA from 1 species
CUCGAGGACGAACGCUGGCGGCGUGCUUAACACAUGCAAGUCGAACGGGUAAGGCCCUUCGGGGUACACGAGUGGCGAACGGGUGAGUAACACGUGGGUGAUCUGCCCUGCACUUCGGGAUAAGCCUGGGAAACUGGGUCUAAUACCGGAUAGGACUCCUGGCUUCAUGGUUGGGGGUGUAAAGCUUUUGCGGUGUGGGAUGGGCCCGCGGCCUAUCAGCUUGUUGGUGGGGUAAUGGCCUACCAAGGCGACGACGGGUAGCCGGCCUGAGAGGGUGACCGGCCACACUGGGACUGAGAUACGGCCCAGACUCCUACGGGAGGCAGCAGUGGGGAAUAUUGCACAAUGGGCGCAAGCCUGAUGCAGCGACGCCGCGUGAGGGAUGACGGCCUUCGGGUUGUAAACCUCUUUCAAUAGGGACGAAGCGCAAGUGACGGUACCUAUAGAAGAAGGACCGGCCAACUACGUG